CAACAUUUUUUUGUUUAUUUUGAAAGUCUAAUACAUAUUCAAAUAUCAAUUGGAAUUACUAACAUUAGAAAUGUCAAUAGAAAAUUAAUCACAAAUUGUUCUACCUUUAACAAAAAAAGGUUAACUAUAAGGUUACGCUAUUUAUAGCCAUGAGAUAUUUUUUUUAUCAUUUUUUUUUUCAUUUAUUAAAUAUGAUAUUCAAUUUAAUAUGCUAGGAUUACAAAAUUUCUCCCCUCAGAAUAAUUGUUCGUAUAGAUCGAAUGGUGUAUCAUUGAAUUCAAAUUUAACACCACUACUUGUAACCUACUGCACAGCAGAGUAAGUUAAACUGGACAGUUUCAAAAAUUUCAUAACUUAACACUAAUAAUAUCAAUACAACCCUACGUGGGGCUCUAGAUAAUAAUCUUUUCUUUAAAUUUUAUUAUAGGGCAAUUCACUCUAUAAUAUCAAAACUAACAGCACACUAUUGAAUCUGGCGAAUGAAAAUUUGCUAUAUCGUACGUAUGUAAGACGGUGAGUCGGUGACCACACAUGUGGGUGUGACGUCAUCUUAAAAAAGUUGCAUACAUCGUGGCUAAAGACGUAAAGAAAGUUGACGACGAUGGGUUAUCGGACACUACUGCAUGUGAAGAUCAAAUUACUGGUGCCCGUUCCUGCACCUGGGACCAUCGAGGUUUGCGCUGCGUACGACGCGGGUCAGUCACACCCAACUAGUCUGAAGUUGCCAUCAGUCCAACGACUUCAGUCCGCGAAGUAGUCCCGCUGUUCAUGCAGCCGCUGAAAAUGUCCGUGGUGGUCAAGGGCAAGACUGGUCCAGUACACUCGAGCACCGAAUUCGGGAACAUUUGUCUGAUAUCUGUUACCGGGGCCCGGUAUCGUUGUUUGUGCGAUGACUUCAAACAGGACGUGCUAGCUGCUUUGAGCUCCACUCGUCCAUACUGAUAGUAGCAGCCACCAAACACCACUGAUGACCACCAAAAUUAAAUUAUAUUAUUAUUGUAUAUUAUUUUUAUAAUUUAACGAUUUAGAGUAUAUAACAUGC